rnacentral:lncRNA from 1 species
UCGGCUUUAGACUACCGUUAUGCAUACUCCGUCUUGGAGCUAGCCAAAGCCAAGUCUUUGCCAAGGGGCAUUACCGGAGCAAAGAAAUGGUCUGGCCAAUCUCUUCCCUGGCCAACCCCCUGCUAUGGAGAUUGCAAAGGUUGCACCUGGGAUUCCCCCAUCCUUAGAUGGCUGGGUAAGCCAGCUUUACAACCCCUUUGCACUGGUGAAGUUGUCCAAAGGGGUCAUGGAGCCAGGACCUGGACCUACAAGUUUACAAGACUACAUGGUGAGGAGUCUACAAACAGACUGUGGGCUUGUCAAUUUAUUGCAUCUAGUCUAGACGUGGUAAAUCAACUGCAGAGCGCUCUCCCGUUAACUCGGAGUGUGAGGUGCAGGCAGAGUCGACGGGGGAGCAUCAGCCUUCGAAGACACCGCGGUAAGUAGAUCUAAGUACGUCAACUUCAGCUACGUUAUUUACAUAGCUGAAGUUGCGUAACUUAGAUCUAUUUCACACACACACACCCAGUUUAGACCAGAUUAACACUAAUUUAGUUCCCAUUACUAUUCUCUAGUUCCUUACCCAUAAUUCCCUAACAGCAAAGGUAAAACUAUUCUUAAAACAACCUACCAAAAUGCUAUCCAUCUCUGCCCAGAGUGGGUAAAAUCUUAUUAGUUAUUUUCAUUUUCCUCACUCAUCCUGAUAAAAUGGAAAGAAUAGAUUUUGUGCCUGGACUUGUAAAUGUUCACAACAAUUUUUGCAAUGUUGCUUAACGCUAAAACUUAUUAGCACAUAAGCCUUUUACAAGUGCACAGCUAUAGAUACUAGCCCACACCUAACACCCUAGUCAGGCCAUUUAAAUAUUCCUGUCAUCAAACAGUUACAGAUCAUCAUGUGACACUUAGAAGGUCAAGUGCAUUUCUGGUGGCUCGAACCCAUGGUGUUGCUCUCCACCUUUUCCCAGUGAAAGAAAUCCUCUUUAGCUGUUCUCUCCCUCAACUUCACACUUACAAAAAUGUCAUCAUUGGAUAAUAUUAAACAAAAUUAAAUACAUGUAAAUAGUAGAUGGAUAAAUGCAUCCCAAUAAAAAUAAGUUAAACGAAUUGAAAUUGCUGGGU